rnacentral:miRNA from 1 species
GCCAUUCCUUCCAAUGUGUCUCUUGUGUUAAGGUGCAUCUAGUGCAGUUAAGCAGCUUAGAACCUACUGCCCUAAGUGCUCCUUCUGGCACAGGCUGCCUAAUACACAGCGUUUAAAAAGUAUGCCU